rnacentral:rRNA from 1 species
UUAAGCGACUAAGCGUACACGGUGGAUGCCCUGGCAGUCAGAGGCGAUGAAGGGCGUGCUAAUCUGCGAUAAGCGCCGGUAAGGUGAUAUGAACCGUUAUAACCGGCGAUACCCGAAUGGGGAAACCCAGUGUGAUUGGUCACACUAUCAUUAACUGAAUCCAUAGGUUAAUGAGGCGAACCGGGGGAACUGAAACAUCUAAGUACCCCGAGGAAAAGAAAUCAACCGAGAUUCCCCCAGUAGCGGCGAGCGAACGGGGAGGAGCCCAGAGCCUGAAUCAGCAUGUGUGUUAGUGGAAGCGUCUGGAAAGGCGCGCGAUACAGGGUGACAGCCCCGUACACAAAAGCGCAUGUGCUGUGAGCUCGAUGAGUAGGGCGGGACACGUGGUAUCCUGUCUGAAUAUGGGGGGACCAUCCUCCAAGGCUAAAUACUCCUGACUGACCGAUAGUGAACCAGUACCGUGAGGGAAAGGCGAAAAGAACCCCGGCGAGGGGAGUGAAAAAGAACCUGAAACCGUGUACGUACAAGCAGUGGGAGCACCCUUCGGGGUGUGACUGCGUACCUUUUGUAUAAUGGGUCAGCGACUUAUAUUCUGUAGCAAGGUUAACCGUAUAGGGGAGCCGGAGGGAAACCGAGUCUUAACCGGGCGUUAAGUUGCAGGGUAUAGACCCGAAACCCGGUGAUCUAGCCAUGGGCAGGUUGAAGGUUGGGUAACACUAACUGGAGGACCGAACCGACUAAUGUUGAAAAAUUAGCGGAUGACCUGUGGCUGGGGGUGAAAGGCCAAUCAAACCGGGAGAUAGCUGGUUCUCCCCGAAAGCUAUUUAGGUAGCGCCUCGUGAAUUCAUCUCCGGGGGUAGAGCACUGUUUCGGCUAGGGGGCCAUCCCGGCUUACCAACCCGAUGCAAACUGCGAAUACCGGAGAAUGUUAUCACGGGAGACACACGGCGGGUGCUAACGUCCGUCGUGAAGAGGGAAACAACCCAGACCGCCAGCUAAGGUCCCAAAGUCAUGGUUAAGUGGGAAACGAUGUGGGAAGGCCCAGACAGCCAGGAUGUUGGCUUAGAAGCAGCCAUCAUUUAAAGAAAGCGUAAUAGCUCACUGGUCGAGUCGGCCUGCGCGGAAGAUGUAACGGGGCUAAACCAUGCACCGAAGCUGCGGCAGCGAACGUAUCACCCAAGACAACUUUACGGAGUUGACGAUUGACGGAGCGAAGCGACGUCAAAGCGUUCAUUAAAGUCGAGUUGGCUUAGGGAUACGUUCGUUGGGUAGGGGAGCGUUCUGUAAGCCUGUGAAGGUGUGUCGUGAGGCAUGCUGGAGGUAUCAGAAGUGCGAAUGCUGACAUAAGUAACGAUAAAGCGGGUGAAAAGCCCGCUCGCCGGAAGACCAAGGGUUCCUGUCCAACGUUAAUCGGGGCAGGGUGAGUCGACCCCUAAGGCGAGGCCGAAAGGCGUAGUCGAUGGGAAACGGGUUAAUAUUCCCGUACUUGGUGUUACUGCGAAGGGGGGACGGAGAAGGCUAUGUUGGCCGGGCGACGGUUGUCCCGGUUUAAGCGUGUAGGUGUGUGUUCCAGGUAAAUCCGGUUCACUUUAACACUGAGGCGUGACGACGAGGCACUACGGUGCUGAAGCAACAAAUGCCCUGCUUCCAGGAAAAGCCUCUAAGCAUCAGGUAACAUCAAAUCGUACCCCAAACCGACACAGGUGGUCAGGUAGAGAAUACCAAGGCGCUUGAGAGAACUCGGGUGAAGGAACUAGGCAAAAUGGUGCCGUAACUUCGGGAGAAGGCACGCUGACACGUAGGUGAAGUGAUUUACUCAUGGAGCUGAAGUCAGUCGAAGAUACCAGCUGGCUGCAACUGUUUAUUAAAAACACAGCACUGUGCAAACACGAAAGUGGACGUAUACGGUGUGACGCCUGCCCGGUGCCGGAAGGUUAAUUGAUGGGGUCAGCGCAAGCGAAGCUCCUGAUCGAAGCCCCGGUAAACGGCGGCCGUAACUAUAACGGUCCUAAGGUAGCGAAAUUCCUUGUCGGGUAAGUUCCGACCUGCACGAAUGGCGUAAUGAUGGCCAGGCUGUCUCCACCCGAGACUCAGUGAAAUUGAACUCGCUGUGAAGAUGCAGUGUACCCGCGGCAAGACGGAAAGACCCCGUGAACCUUUACUAUAGCUUGACACUGAACAUUGAGCCUUGAUGUGUAGGAUAGGUGGGAGGCUUUGAAGUGUGGACGCCAGUCUGCAUGGAGCCGACCUUGAAAUACCACCCUUUAAUGUUUGAUGUUCUAACGUGGACCCGUAAUCCGGGUUGCGGACAGUGUCUGGUGGGUAGUUUGACUGGGGCGGUCUCCUCCUAAAGAGUAACGGAGGAGCACGAAGGUUGGCUAAUCCUGGUCGGACAUCAGGAGGUUAGUGCAAUGGCAUAAGCCAGCUUGACUGCGAGCGUGACGGCGCGAGCAGGUGCGAAAGCAGGUCAUAGUGAUCCGGUGGUUCUGAAUGGAAGGGCCAUCGCUCAACGGAUAAAAGGUACUCCGGGGAUAACAGGCUGAUACCGCCCAAGAGUUCAUAUCGACGGCGGUGUUUGGCACCUCGAUGUCGGCUCAUCACAUCCUGGGGCUGAAGUAGGUCCCAAGGGUAUGGCUGUUCGCCAUUUAAAGUGGUACGCGAGCUGGGUUUAGAACGUCGUGAGACAGUUCGGUCCCUAUCUGCCGUGGGCGCUGGAGAACUGAGGGGGGCUGCUCCUAGUACGAGAGGACCGGAGUGGACGCAUCACUGGUGUUCGGGUUGUCAUGCCAAUGGCACUGCCCGGUAGCUAAAUGCGGAAGAGAUAAGUGCUGAAAGCAUCUAAGCACGAAACUUGCCCCGAGAUGAGUUCUCCCUGAGACUUAGAGUCUCCUGAAGGAACGUUGAAGACGACGACGUUGAUAGGCCGGGUGUGUAAGCGCAGCGAUGCGUUGAGCUAACCGGUACUAAUGAACCGUGAGGCUUAACCUU